UUGUCUUCAGCUCUACAAUCCUCAAACUGUGUGCUGAGAGAGCUGGACCUGAGUAACAAUGACCUGCAGGAUUCAGGAGUGAAGAAGCUCUCUGAUGGACUGAAGAGACCAAACUGCAAACUAGAAACACUGAGAUUUGUCCUGUGUAAACUCACUGCUUAUUCUUGUGAGAGUUUGUCUUCAGCUCUACAAUCCUCAAACUGUGUGCUGAGAGAGCUGGACCUGAGUAACAAUCACCUGCAGGAUUCAGGAGUGAAGAAGCUCUCUGAUGGACUGAAGAGUCAACACUGUAAACUGGAGACACUGAGGUCUGAGUUCAAACUGUUAUGUUCGUAAAGAUUACACAAAAUGUACUAGAACUGUUUUACUUCUAUUGUUGUACUUCUCUUUCCUGUUCCACAAAAGUCACACUCUGACAAAAACUUGUGAUCCUGUCUGUCCAAACUCUUAAAGUGACCUGCGCUCUUUAAGUAUUACUUGUAUAAUGAACACAUUAAUCUAAUUAAACUCAAGAUAAUGAUCAACUAAA